rnacentral:lncRNA from 1 species
UCCAAUCUAAGAUAAAGUAAACAAAUAAUUCGGAUUCUGAUUGACAAUCCAUACUUUUAUUUAGUCUAAGUAAACACCCUACUCCCACUCCCACUCCACACUCCUAAUCCAAGGAUUCCCACUCCUCAGGAUUCCCACUCCAAUCUAAAAAGCAAACGCAGCAUUAACCUAAUCUUAAUCCCCAAGAACACUAUCACUCAGUGGUAUCUUGAUCAAGAAUGAUUGAUUAGUGAAUAUGAGAACAAAAUAAACUAAAAUCAAAGAUAAAGAAGAAAACAGAACAAAGAAAAUUAUAGAGGUCAGCCUCUCAUGGCUUACAUUCUCUUGAGACUUAAGACUAUGCUUGAUUUCAUUGACGCAAAGAAUCAUAUAUAAACUUUCUUGAGAUUGCAAUGAAUUGGAUACAAC